AUACGGAGGGGGCAAGCGUUGCUCGGAAUUACUGGGCGUAAAGGGUCCGCAGGUGGCUUUGUAAGUUAGAUGGGAAAGCUCAGGGCUCAACCCUGAAACUGCAUCUAAAACUGCUUAGCUUGAGUACAGGAGAGGUUGGCGGAAUUCCCGGUGUAGCGGUGAAAUGCGUAGAUAUCGGGUGGAACACCAGUGGCGAAGGCGGCCAACUGGCCUGUUACUGACACUCAGGGACGAAAGCGUGGGGAGCAAACCGGAUUAGAAACCCCAGUAGUCC
rnacentral:rRNA from 1 species